rnacentral:rRNA from 1 species
CGCCUCUUGCUAAUAUAUAAGAGGUCCGGCCUGCCCAGUGACAUAUUCAACGGCCGCGGUAUUCUGACCGCGCGAAGGUAGCAUAAUCACUUGUUCUUUAAAUGAGGACUAGUAUCAACGGCACCACGAGAACUGCACUGUCUCCCCCCUCCAAUCAGUGAAACUGAUCUCCCCGUGAAGAAGCGGGGAUACAAUUAUAAGACGAGAAGACCCCAUGGAGCUUUAAACCUUACAGCAACUCUGCCGCACAGUCCUACAUAUCCACCAGAGUCGUGCAUGUUAGUUUUAGGUUGGGGUGACCGCGGAGUAAAAUCUAUCCUCCACAACAAAAAGAACUAAGCCUUUAUCCGAGAGAUACCUCUCUAAGAAUUAGUAUACUAAUGUACAAUGACCCGAUAAUCGAUCAACGGACCAAGUUACCCUGGGGAUAACAGCGCAAUCUACUUCAAGAGCCCAUAUCGACAAGUAGGCUUACGACCUCGAUGUUGGAUCAGGGUCUCCCAGUGGCGCAGCCGCUACUAAAGGUUCGUUUGUUCAACGAUUAAAACCCU